rnacentral:rRNA from 1 species
GAUGAACGCUGGCGGCGUGCCUAAUACAUGCAAGUCGAGCGAACGGACGAGAAGCUUGCUUUUCUGAUGUUAGCGGCGGACGGGUGAGUAACACGUGGAUAACCUACCUAUAAGACUGGGAUAACUUCGGGAAACCGGAGCUAAUACCGGAUAAUAUUUUGAACCGCAUUGUUAAUAAGUGAAAGACGUUUUUGCUGUUCAUUAUGGAUUGAUCCCCGCUGCAUUAGCUAGUUGGUAAGGUAACGGCUUACCAAGGCAACGAUGCAUAGCCGACCUGAGAGGGUGAUCGGCCACACUGGAACUGAGACACGGUCCAGACUCCUACGGGAGGCAGCAGUAGGGAAUCUUCCGCAAAGGGCGAAAGCCUGACGGAGCAACGCCGCGUGAGUGAUGAAGGUCUUCGGAUCGUAAAACUCUGUUAUUAGGGAAGAACAUAUGUGUAAGUAACUGUGCACAUCUUGACGGUACCUAAUCAGAAAGCCACGGCUAACUACGUG